rnacentral:lncRNA from 1 species
CGGCGACUGCUCUGGAGGGAAGUGGGUUGUGCGAGGACCCGCUGAUAGUCACUGCGAGAGACGCUGGAUUUCAGGCCCGUCCGAAGCCUCAGGCCGUCAGUUCUCGUCCUCCACGUCGAGCGGAGGUGUGUCGGUGCCAGGCGAGAGCUCCUGUGGCGUCUCUCAGCGGCUGCAGUGGGUAGUUGUGGAGACACACACCAGUCACGUCCUUCGCGCUGAAAUUCAAGGUCAUUUUUCUUUCUUCUUAAAGAAUUACUUGCCAUUUGGGUAGGAGUUUCGUGCACAACAUUAUUAUUUCCAGACACUGUUGUACCUCACAAACAACCCAGGAAAGUGGGCGAGUUGUUGCUAAUCCCAUUUAAGAAAGGAGAGGAAAACUAGGGCGGGGGUGUAAAUAAAAUAUGCAAGGUCACACCCUUACUGAAUUACCCGGGAGGAACUGUGCCGUCCUUUUUUAAAGCCUUUUAAUUUCAUAGGUUCUUAGAAAACCACUGGCUGUCAGCAUUAACACUGAUGGAAUGCCUUUCUUUUUUUUUUAAUUUUUAUUUAUUUAUUUAUGAUAGACACACAGUGAGAAAGAGAGAGAGGCAGAGACACAGGCAGAGGGAGAAGCAGGCUCCAUGCAGGGAGCCCGACGUGGGAUUCGAUCCCGGGUCUCCAGGAUCGCGCCCUGGGCCAAAGGCAGGCGCCAAACCGCUGCGCCACCGAGGGAUCCCUGGAAUGCCUCUCUUAAUCCUAAAUGUCACUCUUGAAUCAGGAAUUUUUAAAAGCUCCAAAUAUGGCUUUUCUUUUUUUUUUUUUGCCUACUCCUCAAUUACAAAAGCAUAAUUUUGAACUGCCACACUGGCCUUGGACUUUAGGAUUAAAAAAGAACAUAACUUUGAGGGGAAGUUGGUACAGGAAGCAGCCUAAGGAAACAGGGAAUGAAGGACUGGAUCAAAUGGUCUUUGUUGCACCCCCUCAGAUGCACCAAUAUCAACCAAUGCUUCCUCCUCAGCUCAAUCCCAGCUCUGUGAGGUUUGGGAGUAGGGGAUGUGUUACCUUUAUGCUUUUCAGGCACUAGUAUCAGCUAAACAGUGGACUCCGCUCAGAAAUCUGAGUCCCAUCAUUUUGGGAUCCCUCCACUAAGUUUCUAAAUUCUGAUAACCCCAAGUUCUUCCUUGUUCCCUUCCAGAAGGGCAGCGUGCAGAAAAGUCAGGCCUGCCUGCUAUUCUUUAAAGACUUGUUUACAAGGUUGGUCUUUGGCAUUUGAAAACCUGUAUGUCAGGUAAGUUUUCACCAUUCCCAGAACUGAUACUUGCUGUUCCUGAACUGUGCAAGCAAUAUGGUUUACGCUGAACAUCAGCUUUCCUUGUGGAGUCUGGAAUUUGGAUACAUGACAGGUAGAGAAGGCUUAUGUGAUCAGCCCUCAAUAAAGACCCUGAACACUGAGUCUCUAAUGGGCUU